rnacentral:rRNA from 1 species
AUACAGAGGGUGCGAGCGUUAAUCGGAAUUACUGGGCGUAAAGCGCGCGUAGGUGGUUAUGUAAGUUGGAUGUGAAAGCCCCGGGCUUAACCUGGGAAUUGCAUUCAAAACUGCAUGGCUAGAGUCUGAUAGAGGGAAGUGGAAUUUCCGGUGUAGCGGUGAAAUGCGUAGAUAUCGGAAGGAACACCAGUGGCGAAGGCGGCUUCCUGGAUCAAGACUGACGCUGAGGUGCGAAAGCGUGGGGAGCAAACAGGAUUAGAAACCCCAGUAGUCC